UAUUUGAAAAGUUCAUUUUAUUUGCUAAAUAUUUAUCUUUUGCCCCAAACCAGCAAUCCUUAGUAUCUGGGAUAAUAUUAAGAAAAUUGCACUGUAACUGACAUAGCUGAGGUUCACCUCAUCUGCUUAUUUCUAUUUAUUUUGUCAACAUGUCACUGUUAACUUUUAAAAAUACACAACAAGUACUUUCUCAGUCAUCCUAUUUCCUCAACUUACUUUCUGAUCCAUGAUCUUUAUAAAGAAGAUGAGAAAAAUACCCAUACUAAGAGUUCAAACUGCCUUUUAAUAAUCCAGUGGCCAGAAAUGCACUAUGGUUAUAACAGAGCAAGUAUUGUCCAAUACAUAAGAAAUUAUUUCCAUUUAAAGGGUUAAAAACAGUAAUUCAGGUGCUCCAUAAAGUGCCAGGGUUUUUUCCUGUACCAACUUAAUUAAUUUACAUGUUUACGAUCAUUUAAGCUUUAUUUGGUGCUCUGGCUGAGAAACAAGAGGACUAUUUCUGUGCAACAGGUUAUGGACAAGAGGCCUUCUCCCUCCUCUGGCCCUGCUGCGUGGGUGAGCACUAAGCUGCAGGUACUGCUGUGCACAGAGGGCAGGGAAAGUGAGACGAGGCAGCCAGCCCUUUUUCUCAUGGAUCUAGUUUUUCAGUGGCUGCUAUCAUAUUCAUUGAAGCAAGGAUUUGACUGAGUAGGAAGAUAGAAUUACGUCUCCUCCCCACAGCUCAAGGUCAGGACAAAGAUGGAGGAGCGCUGCAAGGUAUUUUAUGUGCAUUUAUUGACUUCGUAUUCUGACCAAAUUUCCAAGAUGAAAGUAUCAUAAGCAAGGAUUAAGACAUGGCUAAUAUUCAGUCACAUAUUAGCCAGUAUUGAUAUUGAACCUUAGCAGCAGCCAUUGGAACAGCACACUAGACUUCUCAAAUAAAACCCAAAUUGGAUAUUUCUUGUGCCUAGGUAAAGACUUGCAACCAACAAACCUGAGACAUUUCCAAAGAGCAAACAGAGUUUCACUGUAGAACAAGGCGGCUUUGAGGUACAAAAGAGAGGAGGAAACUGUAUUUUCACAACAGUUUAAGGAUUAAAAAUGCAGAAAAGCAUCUACAUGAGAUAUAUAAAACACUAGUCUGCAUUCAUUCUCCAGUCUCUGGCUAGUUCUGAGAAUGUGACCCUCACAGAACUCACACCAAACUAGAUGCAGGAGUUGAGAAAUGCAUCAGUGCAAUUUCUGCUUCCUCGUUCUUCCAUUUUGGGCACACACACAUACAAAAAACAUUUAUUUGGACCUUGGAAUACAUAAACACAGGCAGACUACUUCUGCCCAUAAUAAACAUGAAGAGUUUGCCCUCCAAAGGUAGUAUGACAACCCUGGCAGCAAAGCACCCCUUUCUGCCUCCUUUCCCCCCACUCCCAUCCUGGGUGAACAGUAGCUGGAAUAUGGUUCUUCAUCAUCCACCUCUCUGCUUCCAGCUUUUAAACCUUCCCCCUUUUUUCUUACCCCCCUUUUUCCAAGACCAGGUUUGCUCUGAUUGCUUCUUCUCAAGAGAAGGAUUUCAGAUGUCCCUUGACUGAAGAGGCCUCUCAUAAGAAAAGCACCUCUGAGGAGAAAGUUUAAAGAUCUCCUCUCACCCCACCCCAGAUCUUUUCUUGGCCAGCAUGGAGUCAGCAAUAUAAAAAGGCAGUCCAAAUCCAGUACCUUGUCGUUUUACUACAGGAAAUAUAAAAAGAAUGUAUCUACACACUGGGUGGAGGAAAAAAAAAUAUUUCGUGGAAAUAGAUUUGAUGCUACAAUCCCUUAUGUCCUUGGGCUCCAGAGUCUGAAGGAGUGAAUGACCAGUGAGCACCUCAGCAGCUACGUUGUCUGAGUUUAUUGCACAGAAGCUUUCAAGGUUCAUUACAUAUUAUUGUGCACAUUGAACCAUGGGGCACUUACCCAGCAUCUAGUGCAACAUUUUAGUGAUUGCCAAUGGCUGGUUUAAUCCAUAUUUUCAACUGGAAUUCAGUUCUUAUUUCCUUUCCAGUCACUUUUUAAUUGACCUCAAAUGAUUAGUUACAACCAAAGAAAAUCAUAACUGCAUAAUACUUGACUGUAAGUAAAUAAUUUUCAGUGCCUGCCCCUAUGUAGUAUCUUGUAUUCAGAAAAAGUCUAAAACCAUUUUAACAAUAUAAAGUGUAUUGAAAAUGCAUUUAAAAUAAAUAAGUCAGUUGCUGCUACAUCACCUACUAUCAAGAAAUGUGUAAUUGCCAAGUAUUUUUAGCUGGUUUUGCUCUGUAAAGGCACAACACCAGUACAAAUCUGGCUUAUAUUUAUUUGUCAAAAAAAAACCAUCCAAGAGCUCUUAGAGGAAGUGGAUAACUACUCGAGUGAAAGCACAUUAUCUCACCAUCAGAAGAAAUCCUGGGACACUUAACCUUGCUUCAAAAGCCUCAGACACACUUCCAGCCCCAGUGGUAAACACUUCCAGUGGUGCCCAAGCCUAUUUCCACAUUAGAACUGCAACCCUGCUUGUGCUUUCCAGGGCUGGUCUCAUCUCCCAAAAGAAUGCUUACAUCUUAACACACAAUUUCUUCAUUGGAGCUUCAUUAUCCCAGUUAUCACCAAUUAUGCAAAAAUCAUGUAUCCCCUGUGAAUUGCUAGACAACACGGGCCUCCCUCUGUAACAGAACUAUGAGGGACCAGUCUCUGAAACACCUGCUUAGUGCUACACAGUAAGAAGAGGGAGAAUACCAGCAUGAUCCUGCCUUUUCCAUUUGUAAAUGCAACGUGAUGUGGGACAUGGGUGAAGACAAGAGCCUGCCCCUCACAAUAUCUCUCCAUCCCGUGGGGGAUGGAAGAUGUGUUUGUGGCUAACAGCAGGACUGGCAUGCUUUCGGCACCACCGGAGGUCCUCAGCCCUGAAAUUAGAUAAGAGCACUUUGCUCUCCCCUUCCUUCGGUAGAACAGCUUGUGAGAUGAAAGCAGCAAAGCGCCUCCUCAGCUUGA
ensembl:lncRNA